rnacentral:rRNA from 1 species
CACGUAGGGCGCGAGCGUUGUUCGGAAUUACUGGGCGUAAAGGGCGCGUAGGUGGCCAACUAAGUCAGACGUGAAAUCCCUCGGCUUAACCGGGGAACUGCGUCUGAUACUGGAUGGCUUGAGUCCGGGAGAGGUGAGUGGAACUGCGAGUGUAGAGGUGAAAUUCGUAGAUAUUCGCAAGAACACCAGUGGCGAAGGCGGCUCACUGGCCCGGUACUGACGCUGAGGCACGAAAGCGUGGGGAGCAAACAGGG